AGAGUUUGAUCCUGGCUCAGGAUGAACGCUAGCGGCAGGCCUAAUACAUGCAAGCCGGACGGCAAGUUGAGUAGCAAUACUUGACCUAGAGUGGCGUAAGGGUGCGUAACACGUAUGCAAUCUGCCCACAGCCGGGGUAUAGCCCUCCGAAAGGGGGAUUAACACCCCAUAGAAAUAUUGGGAGGCAUCUUUUGAUAUUUAAACCACGGGGCUGUGGAUGAGCAUGCGCUUGAUUAGCUAGUUGGCGGGGUAAUGGCCCACCAAGGCGAUGAUCAAUAGGGGACCUGAGAGGGUGAUCCCCCACACUGGCACUGAGAUACGGGCCAGACUCCUACGGGAGGCAGCAGUAGGGAAUAUUGGACAAUGGGUGCGAGCCUGAUCCAGCCAUGCCGCGUGCAGGAAGAAGGCCUUCUGGGUUGUAAACUGCUUUUGCCGGGGGAUAAAAGAUCCAUGCGUGGAGAAUUGAAGGUACCCGGUGAAUAAGCCACGGCUAACUACGUGCCAGCAGCCGCGGUAAUACGUAGGUGGCAAGCGUUGUCCGGAUUUAUUGGGUUUAAAGGGUGCGUAGGCGGUCCUGUAAGUCAGUGGUGAAAUACGGCAGCUCAACUGUCGAGGUGCCAUUGAUACUGCGGGACUUGAGUACAGACGAGGUAGGCGGAAUUGACGGUGUAGCGGUGAAAUGCUUAGAUAUCGUCAAGAACACCGAUAGCGAAGGCAGCUUACUAGACUGUAACUGACGCUGAGGCACGAAGGUGCGGGGAUCAAACAGGAUUAGAUACCCUGGUAGUCCGCACAGUAAACGAUGAUUACUCGAUGUUGGCGAUAUACAGCCAGCGUCUUAGCGAAAGCGAUAAGUAAUCCACCUGGGGAGUACGCCCGCAAGGGUGAAACUCAAAUGAAUUGACGG
rnacentral:rRNA from 1 species